rnacentral:rRNA from 1 species
AGAGUUUGAUCCCGGCUCAGAUUGAACGCUGGCGGCAUGCUUUACACAUGCAAGUCGAACGGCAGCGCGGGGCAACCUGGCGGCGAGUGGCGAACGGGUGAGUAAUAUAUCGGAACGUACCCAAGAGUGGGGGAUAACGUAGCGAAAGUUACGCUAAUACCGCAUACGAUCUAAGGAUGAAAGCAGGGGAUCUUCGGACCUUGUGCUCCUGGAGCGGCCGAUAUCUGAUUAGCUAGUUGGUGAGGUAAAGGCUCACCAAGGCCACGAUCAGUAGCUGGUCUGAGAGGACGACCAGCCACACUGGAACUGAGACACGGUCCAGACUCCUACGGGAGGCAGCAGUGGGGAAUUUUGGACAAUGGGCGAAAGCCUGAUCCAGCAAUGCCGCGUGAGUGAAGAAGGCCUUCGGGUUGUAAAGCUCUUUUGUCAGGGAAGAAACGGUGAGGGCUAAUAUCCUUCGCUAAUGACGGUACCUGAAGAAUAAGCACCGGCUAACUACGUGCCAGCAGCCGCGGUAAUACGUAGGGUGCAAGCGUUAAUCGGAAUUACUGGGCGUAAAGCGUGCGCAGGCGGUUUUGUAAGUCUGACGUGAAAUCCCCGGGCUCAACCUGGGAAUUGCGUUGGAGACUGCAAGGCUAGAAUCUGGCAGAGGGGGGUAGAAUUCCACGUGUAGCAGUGAAAUGCGUAGAGAUGUGGAGGAACACCGAUGGCGAAGGCAGCCCCCUGGGUCAAGAUUGACGCUCAUGCACGAAAGCGUGGGGAGCAAACAGGAUUAGAUACCCUGGUAGUCCACGCCCUAAACGAUGUCUACUAGUUGUCGGGUUUUAAUUAACUUGGUAACGCAGCUAACGCGUGAAGUAGACCGCCUGGGGAGUACGGUCGCAAGAUUAAAACUCAAAGGAAUUGACGGGGACCCGCACAAGCGGUGGAUGAUGUGGAUUAAUUCGAUGCAACGCGAAAAACCUUACCUACCCUUGACAUGUACGGAAGACCGAAGAGAUUUGGUUGUGCUCGAAAGAGAACCGUAACACAGGUGCUGCAUGGCUGUCGUCAGCUCGUGUCGUGAGAUGUUGGGUUAAGUCCCGCAACGAGCGCAACCCUUGUCAUUAGUUGCUACAUUUAGUUGAGCACUCUAAUGAGACUGCCGGUGACAAACCGGAGGAAGGUGGGGAUGACGUCAAGUCCUCAUGGCCCUUAUGGGUAGGGCUUCACACGUCA